UCCCUGGUGGCUCAGAUGGUAGAGCAUCUGUCUGAAAUGCAGGAGACCUGAGUUUGAUCCCUGGGUAAGGAA
rnacentral:tRNA from 1 species